GUGUCAGCAGCCGCGCGGUAAUACGGAGGGCGCAAGCGUUAAUCGGAAUUACUGAGCGUAAAGCGCACGCAGGCGGUUUGUUAAGUCAGAUGUGAAAUCCCCGGGCUCAACCUGGGAACUGCACCUGAUACUGGCAAGCUUGAGUCUCGCAGAGGGGGGUAGAAUUCCAGGUGUAGCGGUGAAAUGCGUAGAGAUCUGGAGGAAUACCGGUGGCGAAGGCGGCCCCCUGGACGAAGACUGACGCUCAGGUGCGAAAGCGUGGGGAGCAAACAGGAUUAGAUACCCUGGUAGUCCACGCCGUAAACGAUGUCGACUUGGAGGUUGUGCCCUUGAGGCGUGGCUUCCGGAGCUAACGCGUUAAGUCGACCGCCUGGGGAGUACGGCCGCAAGGUUAAAACUCAAAUGAAUUGACGGGGGCCCGCACAAGCGGUGGAGCAUGUGGUUUAAUUCGAUGCAACGCGAAGAACCUUACCUGGUCUUGACAUCCACGGAAGUUUUCAGAGAUGAGAAUGUGCCUUCGGGAACCGUGAGACAGGUGCUGCAUGGCUGUCGUCAGCUCGUGUUGUGAAAUGUUGGGUUAAGUCCCGCAACGAGCGCAACCCUUAUCCUUUGUUGCCAGCGGUCCGGCCGGGAACUCAAAGGAGACUGCCAGUGAUAAACUGGAGGAAGGUGGGGAUGACGUCAAGUCAUCAUGGCCCUUACGACCAGGGCUACACACGUGCUACAAUGGCGCAUACAAAGAGAAGCGACCUCGCGAGAGCAAGCGGACCUCAUAAAGUGCGUCGUAGUCCCGGAUUGGAGUCUGCAACUCGACUCCAUGAAGUCGGAAUCGCUAGUAAUCGUGGAUCAGAAAUGCCACGGUGAAUACGUUCCCGGGCCUUGUACACACCGCCCGUCACACCAUGGGAGUGGGUUGCAAAAGAAGUAGGUAGCUUAACCCUUCGGGUAGGGCGCUUACCACUUUGUGAUUCAUGACUGGGUUGAAGUCGUAACAAGGUUACCCAAUCCAU
rnacentral:rRNA from 1 species